AAUUAUUGAAUAUUUCUCUCGAAACUUUUCGCUUCAAUUAUCUUUGUUCUUCAAUGGGCAGGCCAAACUUAUCAAGAAAGUGAUUCUUGUGGCGUUCAAAACAACGGGUGAGAAUCUUUGGGUUAUGUAAUCAAGGGGUCUUUCAAGCAUCAUUCUCGCUGGAUUUUUUUGUUCAUAAUUUUAUUGGUUCAAGUCCAAAAAUCCGGAGGAGAUUUCAAGAUUGUGUGAUUAAGAGGUCGUUCGUUUCAUAUACGUGCAGUUGCUUGGUUCACUUUUGCGGAUCGAUUCUUAAACCUCAGUCGUAUUUGGGCAUUCUUGGGAUUCGGUGUCAAUUCUUGUGAGUUCGAUAGCAACCUUGCUAACCGGGUUCGCAUCAUGUGUUGAAAACGAGAUUUAGCCUCUGUUUGAACUUCCUUUCAAGUUGCUAAGAUGUUAUUUUUAACUCCACAUUUUAUAAGUCUUACAUUAAGUCAGUUACGUUAAUUUUAAAUCUAUUUUGUAACAAGC
rnacentral:lncRNA from 1 species